AUCUUUUCAUGGUUCAUAAGUGUGACUGGGUUUUCACACCUUUGUGUGAGAUGUGCCUCCUUCAUGCCUUAUUAUGACACCAGCACAUUUACCCAUCUGACA